rnacentral:lncRNA from 1 species
AGCGAACAAUUGACAUUAAAUAUUUGUUUAAUUGUAUAUCUGAAUCCUAUUUUGUUACUCUGGACCAAGGUGACACUUGCUACAAAUAUACCACAAAGAACGUCAUAUUUUCUUUUACAUUAACAUGCUUUGUUCAUGCAUGUUCCUUUGUCUUUUUUUGUAAAGUUCCUAAAUAUUCUAUAACAAUUGUCUCCCCGCAUUAUGUUUACUUCCGAUAACCUCAAUUUCAAUGAGCAUAAUGGGCUGCAUGCAGUUAACGAAUUACUGACCUAAUGCUAAAUACAGGAGAUUAACAGAUUAAAUAAGCGUGAUUAUUUUAAAUAGUUAAAAUAAUAAAUUUUUAUUUCCAUUACUAUUGAACUUUUUAUAUUAAUUUGAGACAUAAGUUCUGUUGAUCUGUUAUAUACAUUUGUAUCUAAUAAACUUGACUAACUUCUUAAUAUUAAUCAGACCGUACGCGUACGGUCCGACCGUAUGCGUAUUUUGAAAAAGUACGCAUACGGUCCAGACCGUACGCGUACGGUCCAAAUACUCAUACGGUCUGGAACAGCUAUAUAGAAGGGUUGAGAUAUCACAAAUCAAGUUAAACCUCGCAUCAUUUUUGCGCUUGACCCUGGCAAUUGUUAGUCUUGUGUAUUUUAAUUUUGGUUCAUUUAUAUGUUUCGGAGUUUAGUGUGUUGUCCAUUUCCGUUGAAAAGGUAAAAAUGUAUAUUAUUU